rnacentral:lncRNA from 1 species
GGCAUAGUCAAGUACUUGCGAAGUCGGAGAGUGAUCAAGAUGGGAUUGACCACUCCAAGAGUUGGAGAAGAAUGAGUCGCUGUAUUUCAAUUUAGCAAAACCUUGGCCAGGAUAAUCCAUCAGAUAGAUUUGAUAUUUUAAAAUACAAUGUGGAUAAUCUGAUCAGAGUUGAUAGUUAAACUCUGAGGUAUCCGAUAAGCAUUUUGGUCAAAGGGAUGAAUUAUAUGGAAACUAUUUCUGUAUGGGUUCUAAGGAUGUUGUUCUACACAUUCGACCUAUCCGACUAUCGGGUACCAUUACUAGAUGGUCAC